GGGAGGUUGGCGGUGGACGAGCCACUCGCCAACCGGGUCAGGUCCGGAAGGAAGCAGCCCCAACGAGACCGUCUCGGGUUGCCGAUCAGCCUCCCACC
rnacentral:SRP_RNA from 2 species